AUCAGCUAACCAGUCUGAGUGAGAGGUGCUUGGAAUGGAGCACAAUUCUACCUUUAGUCAGCAUUGAUAUGCUCACAUUUCUGACCAUAUUCUCAACUUAAAGAUAGUGUGGUCUUUGAUUCUCAUCUAAAUUCCGUUGAGGAGAUGGAAGCAGUGACAACAAUACACCUCUGAUGCCGGAAGAUCUCAGAUGGUGACGAGGAGGCGUACAGGAGUGAGGCAGACCGGCUGGUUAAGAACAACAACCUUGCCCCCAACAUUGUGGACUUCAGGAAGGCGAUGUCGAGGGAUCAGCAGUGAGCAGCUUCAAGUUCCUCUGCGUCACCAUCUGCGCCCACCAUAUUGAUGCAAUCGUAAAGAAGGCUCACCAGCAGCUCUACUUCAUUAGGAGCUUGAAGAGAUUUGGUUAUACCAACCAGAUCAACACAAGCUGAAGGCUGAAUGACUAUCACUUUACAAAGUUUAAAUCGUUCUGCUGUGCUGACCCAGUCUCUUUGCUUCGAUGAUUUCUUCCACCUGCUUCCUGAGAAACGCAUGUGGCACUGGCGCUCUCAUCAAUAUUCUCCUCUCCUUAAAGGCUGAUACUGCCUGACCUGUUGAGUGCCUUCCAUCUGUUUCUAUUUGUAUUUCAAUUGAGAACAUCCUCCAGCUACUGCAGCCCUGCCCAUUUCUGAAAGAACCACUGCCUCAUUUGAAGCCAUUCAAUGGAUUACUAAUCUUGACAUCAAACUAUUGGCCUGGCAAACUCAGAUCCACGCACCUCUGUCUGCCCCUCAACGAAUGAAGAAAUCUCUUAGCACCAUCGUAAGAGGGAUAGAGCACAGUGAGCGAACCUUCUGGCCCAAUGAGCUUGUGACCAAUUAACCUACUAACCCGUAUGUCUUUGGAAUGUGGGAUGAAAAUGGAGCACCUGGAGGAAACCCAUGUGGCUACAGGGAGAACGUGCAAACUGGCGCUUUUAAGCUCAGAAGAGUUCGUGACUUGACGUGCUGCCUUUGUCGAGAUGUGCUGUUCGAGGAGCCUUUGGUGGAACCGCAAGAUUUUAUGGCACAAUUUCAAGGGACUUCUUAAUAGACAUCUGAACAAUUGUCAUUGUUCAAUCACAUCAAUAAACAGACAGGAUACAAAAUAGAUUGCAGAUGCUGGAGUCUGGAGCAAGAAGUAAACUGCUGGACGAAUGCAGUGGGUCAGGCAGCAUCUCUGGAGACAGAGGUGACUAUUUCCCACACCCCAGACUCAACACAACCCUCUACCCUUCUCUGUCCCCUUUCUCCUUUGAAGACCCCUUCCUACCACCACCCCCUCUUCUAUUACCCAUCCUAUCCCCUUUCUCCCGUUACCCCCUGGGGACCCCAUACCUCAUCCAAGCAUCAAUAAACAGAUGACCUGGUAAUCAAAGCGAUACUCUUUAUGGGAUCUUGCUAUGCACAUCAGCCAUUACAUCU